rnacentral:tRNA from 1 species
GCGCACGAGUGGUGAAACGGUAUACACGCUAGCAUGGGGGGCUGGCGCCCGCAAGGGCGUGGAGGUUCAAGUCUUCUCUCGCGCACCA